CGGCGGACGGGUGAGUAACACGUGGAUAACCUACCUAUAAGACUGGGAUAACUUCGGGAAACCGGAGCUAAUACCGAAUAAUAUAUUGAACCGCAUGGUUCAAUAGUGAAAGACGGUUUUGCUGUCACUUAUAGAUGGAUCCGCGCCGCAUUAGCUAGUUGGUAGGGUAACGGCUUACCAAGGCGACGAUGCGUAGCCGACCUGAGAGGGUGAUCGGCCACACUGGAACUGAGACACGGUCCAG
rnacentral:rRNA from 1 species